UACGUAGGGGGCUAGCGUUGUCCGGAAUCAUUGGGCGUAAAGCGCGCGCAGGUGGUUCUUUAAGUCUGAUGUGAAAGCCCACGGCUCAACCGUGGAGGGUCAUUGGAAACUGGGGAACUUGAGUGCAGAAGAGGAAAGUGGAAUUCCAAGUGUAGCGGUGAAAUGCGUAGAGAUUUGGAGGAACACCAGUGGCGAAGGCGACUUUCUGGUCUGUAACUGACACUGAGGCGCGAAAGCGUGGGGAGCAAACGGG
rnacentral:rRNA from 1 species